rfam:Apaloderma vittatum contig15330, whole genome shotgun sequence.
GGCCGGUUAGCUCAGUCAGUUGAGCGUAGCGCUAACAACGCUAGGGUCGCGGGUUCAAUUCCCAUUCGGUCC